rnacentral:rRNA from 1 species
UACGUAGGGGGCAAGCGUUGUCCGGAAUCAUUGGGCGUAAAGAGCGUGUAGGCGGCCCGGUAAGUCCGCUGUGAAAGUCAAAGGCUCAACCUUUGAAUGUCAGCGGAUACUGCCGGGCUAGAGUCCGGAAGAGGCGGGUGGAACUCCUGGUGUAGCGGUGAAAUGCGCAGAUAUCAGGAGGAACACCAAUGGCGAAGGCAGCUCGCUGGGACGGUACUGACGCUGAGACGCGAAAGCGUGGGGAGCAAACAGG